UGAAAGUCAGGUCGGAUUAAGCCAUAGUACGGAAAAAACUAUGCUACCUGUGAGCCCCGUCCAAGGACGUUAAAAGGAGUCAGGCCAUUACAAAUGCCACAGCUUGAGUAAACUGUGCAGCCUGUAGCUCCACCUGAGAAGGUGUAAAAAAUCUGGGAGGCCACAAACCAUGGAAGCUGUACGCAUGGCGUAGUGGACUAGCGGUUAGAGGAGACCCCUCCCUUACAAAUCGCAGCAACAACGGGGGCCCAAGGUGAGAUGAAGCUGUAGUC
rnacentral:lncRNA from 1 species